AUGUUCUUCUCCAAUUACUUGCCAAGUAGAGAUCACACAGUAAACAACUCUCCCACCCUAAGUAAUGACCAAAAGAGAGAAAUUCCACAACUGCACAACCUCAAGCACUUCCCUCCAUCGCCGAGCACCGUCGCAGACCUUGUUAUCGCCGACAAUCGUCCAUCAUUUAACUGCAUCGUUGUUCCUGUUUUCAUUCUCCGCCUCAGAUCCACGCGGCUAUCUUCAUUUCUUCCUUUGUCUCAGAUCGAUGUCGUGAUUUACGUUCCUAUCUCCAAGGUCAUACGCCAAGGACGAAACGAGAAUAUGGCGGAACCGGCAGCACUUUCAUCUUCAAAAGCAUCAUCAAUGGCGACAAGGAAGUUCAACGUGAAGGUUGAGGAGCUUCUUGACUGUAUGCUCGCUUGUUUGGCUCUCUGCAAAAUUCCAAGCUUGAGCUCUUGCUCUCCAAGCUCCUCCCUCUUUGUAUCUCCUCCAAUUCCGGCGAUGUUUGCGAAAAUGUUCGGCAAUUCUCGUCUCUCUCUCUCUCUCUUUCUCACUCUUUCAAUUUUAUUUGUCAGCAAUUUUGAGUGUUUUAGCUUUCAAAUUUGAAGAUGCUAAUGCUGAUCUUUGUGAAUACUUGUGUUAAUUGUGCAAAUAUCAUAGGAUUUCAAAUUUGCUGUUGCGAGGGACUCAGAGAAAUUGGAAUUAGAAUAUAAUAGUAACAAAUUGUAUAGUUUUGAGUUCUACCAAUUUUUCUUCUAUGAUCUGUGAUUCACUCUUUGGUCUUUAUUACAGGUUUCAUAGUAAUUCCACUUUCACACUGAUAUUUUCCUCUUUGAUAUGGAUAGGAAAGAAUGAUGGAAAAACGAUUAGUUUGUGAAACUUUAUUGGAAUUUUCCUACCUGUUGGAGAUAUCAACUUUCCUAAUGUUAAGGGAAUUGAAUUGUUUUUUAUGAUAAGGAAGGAAAAUGUGAAGGAGUUAAAAGGUCUAAUUCAAAGCUCCCAAUCAAUAUUAAUGGAUAAGAAAUUGUGAUUCUUGAUAUAGUAGGAAGCAGUGACUUGGACUUAAAGGUAUCAUAUCAACUUAAACUUAUUAAUCAUCCACUUAUUGCAUGAGAAAUUUAGCUAUGUCUAAUAAGUGCAGCCCUAUUACUGUUUUUAGAAUUGCUGAGAGUUGAUAGAGGCUAAACACAAUCCAGUUAGAUUAGCUUAAUAAACCAUAUACUAUGAUUAGCUCUCAAUUUUUGUCAAGUAUCCUCCUUCUUCUUCAAGUUCUUUCCUUUUUGGUUUUCGCUGUGUGAUUUGCAAGCAUCUUUUUUAGAAUGUUUCUUAUCAUAUACCCUUAUGCUCAAUUUGACCGGAAGUGGCGUCUUUUAUUCAUUUCUGAGAUAAAAAAUUUUACUUUUAGAAUGCAUUUUUGUUCUAUAUUUUUUAAUUGUUAUGGGUUAGCUUGGGCACUAUUGCUGUGUGAAAUUUUAGCGUAGAUUACUGAUUUCGUUAUGUUUGAUUUUGUACUUGUUAUGAUAAUCCGAAUUGUUAAUACAGUAGUAGUAUUACUAGUGCUGCAUCAUUUUUCCCCCUUAUUCAUUGAAAGUUAUGCAAAAAUUUCUGCUAGUGUACUUGGUGGUUUUAACUAUGUUUUCCAUUUUCAACCAAAUGCCUUUGGUUGUUAUAGUUCAUGUUGAAUUGGCUAUGACAUUAUCCUUUUAUAGAUUUGAGAUAGCAUAGCAUUAGCAUCUUGGCAUAGUUGUAAGACACACUAAAGGAUUUAUUCUUGGUGCGGAAAUAGUUGCCAUUGGCCAAAGUGGUACAAUUUGCUUGCAGUUGUUAUGAUAUAACUUAUUCCUUGACUUCUGAAUAAAUUAAUAAUUCAAAGCAUGAUUUAUAAGUUGUUGCAGCAUGAGUAAUAUAGAAGAAGCUUCUUUUAAGAGGAGUUGAGUGUUACUAAUAGGUGAAAAGCAUUACUAUUGGCAAUGGACUAAAAUGUCCUUAUUUAGGAAUCUUCGAGAAAUGAAUGUUUCUAUAAUAAUUACUGAGUUCAUCCAUGUGCUUAUAUUAAACCUUCAAUAGAAGAAGAGCUGACCAAUUUGUAAACUUUUAGUCUUUUAAUUAAAAUUAAGUUAGAGCACCUCAAUGGUGUUGUUUUAGUGAAAUAUGAGAUUUUUAUUUUAUUAUAAUGACUCUUUUGUUUGCUCGUUUCCUAUUCACAAUAUGGUUUAGCAUUGAUUUGACAGAAAGCGUUUCGAGAGUGAUCCAUUCACAAAAUGGUUUAGCUUUGAUUUGACAGAAAGCAUGCCGAGAGUGAUCCUUUUGUUUCUGAUGCUACGACUAAAGUUGAAAAAUUUGCUCAAAGUUUGCAGUGAUCUCUAAAGCUGGAAAUAUUGAAAGGGUCUGCUCUGCUACGAAUUUGAUUUCAUCGUUUUAACAGUUAAAACUGUCUUUAGUUUUCUGUUGCGCCAAACAUGUCAGGCUCUAAAGGGCAAUGUAGUCAUGAUGAAAUCAGAGAGAGAAGAUCAAAUGUUGAGUACUUUGAAGAUGAAAGGCAGCAGUCUAAAAUUGGGGAUCUUUACCUCCCAGGCAUGAUGAUUACCAUACAUUGUUGAGGAAGAGGUUUCGGUAUGGACAUGAUACGAUCAUUGAUGGUAUGAUCAAAGAUGGCCUUUGGAAUGCCUAUAAUGACUUUGGCAUGGGAGUUUGUGCAGAUCAGCAUGUCAUAACAAGAGAUGAGCAAGACUCGUAUGCCAUUCAAAGCUUUGAGAGAGGAAUAGCUACUCAAAAUGCUGGUCAUUUUUCUUGGGAGAUAGUUCUGGUGUGAUUUCUAACUGCACUGAACUGUUGAUAGGUUUAACUGAUAUCACUGACUAGUGUUUCAGCAUGUCUUAAUGUUCUAAAAUCUCACUAAUUUUGUUUUGUUGUCA